rnacentral:rRNA from 1 species
AUGGUGGCGGCGUCGAGGCCGUGCUUGGGCUGCUGGGCCUGGCCCUGCCCUUGCAGGGGCUGUGCGCCGUGGUGCCGCGUCCUGGUGCGGCGAAGGUGGAGGAAGCGCAGGCAGAGGAAGAUGACGACGAGGAAGAAGCAGCAGGCGACGGAUGCCGCCAACGCGCUGAGCAGCGUGGUUGUGCUGCAGCACGGGGCCACGGCCUCUCCGGGCUCGAACGGCGCGAUGUAUGAGGACAUGGUGGAGGAAAUGGCUUUGGGAAACGAAGCUACAGCUAGCUAUAUAUAUGUAGACAGGUUGGUGAUCUCAAAAUUUUGGAUGGUUCUCUUGCUGGGACAGAUCAUUUAG